rfam:Spinacia oleracea cultivar SynViroflay scaffold10713.con0005.1, whole genome shotgun sequence.
AGAGGUCGUAUGAUGAUUUUAAAUGCAUAGUUCAUAUGAAUAAAUCUGUGAUUAACGUUAACCAAAUAGUCUUUCGCUCCUAUCUGAUGACCUCA